rnacentral:lncRNA from 1 species
CACCACUAUCUAUCAUCAACCACCCGUAUCAGUCACCACCACCAUUAGAUACUACAAUCAUCCACCACAAUUAUAAGCCGCCGCCACCAACUACCGCCAUCGUUAACCAUUAUCGCCUCGCCAACAUCAGCACUAAUUACUACCUACAACUACCACCAUCAUCUAACACCACCACCAACCACUACUCCCAGUCAGCACCCACAACCAGUGGCGGACCUAGAAUUUUAUUCAAGCCGGGUCAAAAAUGCCCUUUAAAUAAUCGACAUUAGUAAUUAUUAUUUUUUAUUAAUUCCAAGUGGUAUUCUACUUUCUUUUUUAAAUAAAGGGUGAAAAUCAUAGAAGACCGCGAAAUUUCCUUUGUAGUCUUCAGUUAGAUUUUUGU